rnacentral:lncRNA from 1 species
AAACUCUUUUCUGUGACUGUCUGUUAAGCAGCAUUUAGGUAAGUCCCAUUUUUUUCCACAAUUUUAAAUUAUAUCUAUAUUUAUAUCUCUGUAUACCCUAGGAAAUCUAUACCAGCAGGGCACUUUACAGAGUAAAAUACAUGUGAUAAUCUUUUAAAACCAAAGAGAAAAUUGUUUCAGCAGAGGAACAUGUGAAAUUGUACAGAACACUAAAAUUGGAAUGUGCAUGUAUGAUACAUACCCAAACUCCUAUUAUAAAAUAUUCCCAGCAUUUAAACCACUACUGGGUGAAUUUGGGAUGAUAUUUUAUUUGCCUUCUUCUUCUUCUUUUUUAAAUGAGACGUUCUUUGAAAAAUGACAAAAAGGUAAAUAGUUUUACAAAGCAACAACCUAAUCAGUCUCUCAAGCAGAAUAUAAAUCAUGGAUUUCAUUAACUGUUGGUAGCCAGUUUAAAUUGUAGUCUUGUCCAUAAUGUCUAUCUAUCUAUGUAUGUCCGAGUUAUAUUAAAAACCUUUAAAUGGCUUUGUAAUACCAGCCACAUCUAGCUAUUAUAAUAAUUAAUGACAGUGUUUUAUAAAUCAAUAUAUGUAUUCUUGAUAAAUUCAUAUCCAGUUAAUGGUGUAAUUUAAAUAAAAAAUUAAUGCAAUAAAGGACAUACAGGCAUAGGCAGAAAAUCUUUAAAGGUUAAGAGGCAAAUUUGUCUAAAUUCUUUUUUUAUUUUUCAUUUUUAAAAACCUCUCAUUUUUUAGGGCAGCAGGCUUGGGGGGAAGAAUUGCCCGCUGAAACCCAUUUGCCUAAAAGAGUCAACCUUAUAUUUUGUUUGCCAUUUGGUUUUACUAUUAUCUAUAAUUUCGCAAGCCUGAUGCUUCAGAGUCUGUACUUCUGUAGAAGAUUUAGGUUACAACAAAUCAGGAGUUAGAGCAGGUGCUCUCAGCAUGGAUUCAAGGGGUGGGGGAAAGGGAGCCCUUUUUAAAAUGUAAUUUUACGUUUUUUAAAUUUAUGAACUUCUUAUUCCAGAUUUUGGUAGGUGAAUGUUCUUUAUUAUAUGUGUGCUCCAUAUUCCAUAAAUAUGAAAACGCAGCUCCAAAAUCAUAAACGCAUUGCAAUGAUUGUGUAAAUCCUCAAGAAUGUUUUCAGCCAACAGAAAUAUGUUCCUUAUCUGCUGUUCUAAGUACAGUUAAUCCAGUUUAUUCAAAAAAAUAACAUGGGAGUAACUUGGAGGGGGGGGGGAAACUUAUCAUCCCCCUCCUUUCCUCCCUAAGCUGCACAUUCAUAUUAAAUUACAUAAAGUUUCUUUUAUGGGUUAUUGUAUAGUUUACAGUUUAUUUAUAGCCUAUAACAAAAUGCAUCCUGAAAAAUAACACAAGGUUAGAAAAACAACAAUGCUCACUGUGUCUUAUCACCCACAGCAAUCUUAAACAUAUAAUAAUAAUUGUUGCUUGUUUAUAUGUUGAACAUUAAGCAAGGAAUAGCUCACCAAAUUUAUGCAAAAAAUUAAGCAUGGCUAUUGAGGCUGACAUGAUGCAGAAAUGUUACUUUAAUCCGGAGAGAUUUGUUUCUGACAUUUUUCUUAACAUUGCAUUGCCUUAUUUAGAACAGUAAAAGUGAUUCGUCCAAUCUCCCUUGACAAGGAUGGAGGGCUGCAAGAUCCCUCACGGAAGGAAAAAGGAAUGGAUUUGCUGUUCUUUCACUUUAAUAAUACACCUUCAUAGCCAAUUUUUAUUGUUUAAAAGUUUACAUUUGCAUUUCCACAUGAAAUUAUAUAUAGUUCAGUGCUUGCUGGAGGGGCAGGGAGAGGAGAGAUAAAAAUAAAAGUACAGUUAAUAAGUGCACGUCAAAGUGAGCUGGAAUAAUGCAAUCCAUUUAAGAUGUAUUGUGAUUUUAGGGAGAGAAAAAACAUGCCACAGAUUUCUAGGAAACCUAAUAAAAGAAUACAUCAACUGGUACAGAUAAGUGAAACAAUGAAAUAUGUCAAGUUUUUAAAUAUAUAUCUUCAUCUUCCAUUGUAUUUUUCCUCUUGGGACUACAUAUGUUGCUCUCAACUAGCUCCGCCUCCGGAUUACACUAUGCAACAACAACAACAACAACCAGCUACCUGAAUCUUAGGCUUUAUUAGUCUUUCAGCACUUUAAGGAUAUAUCCUCUUCAUUACAUGAAGUGAAACAGCAAUCUUUAAAAUACUGAUCCGCAAAUAUCUGUAAUGUUUUUUUUAAAAAAGUGUUUUAAUCAAAUGUAGGACGUUUCAUUUUUUUUUUACGUACAAAUCACAAUAUUUCUCCACUUAAAUGAAUGUUGUCUGCUUUUAACUCACUAUGCUCAUUUUGAGGGUAAAAAUCAAUGUACCUGAUAAUUCUGCUAAAAUUAUUUCCCCCCCUCAGAAUGUCUAUCAAGCAGCCUAAUAUAUGACCAGUUAAUAUUUAGAUUUAGGUGGAUUUAGUCUUGCUAACUUCCACAGGACUCUCAAGAAAAUCCUCUACAGCUAAUUGGCAUAUAUAAAACACUUACUUUUGGAGCUCUCCUUUUUUACUCCAAUGAGACCAUUUUCUGGAAUAGACAGUUUAAGGCUUUGCUAUUGACAGGCCAAAAUCCAAGCAGGGGAGUUUAACUGGUUUGUGGAUCAAACAUUUUGUUUCCUUGUGUGGUUAUCCCCCCUUGAGCCAUGUGAAGUGGAUUAGCAUCACACCCACAAGUUCUCUCAGGAUUCAAACCUGAUUUCAGAAGAAGCAGCAUCCGUGUAAACAAAUGCCUGUCCCAGCUGUGUAGAGUCAGCUCUCAUCUGCAGGUAUUUACAUCCACAAAACCACAUUGUGAGAGCCAAGGAAAUUAUGCAACAACAGUGACUUGUUAAAUAGCUUUUCCUCAUCAGAUAAGGACAAGUUUAAGGAGCCCUCGAGGCAAAGUGUACUGAUCUGGCCAGCUGACGGAGACCAAGAUACAGGUAAUUAUUGCUAUCACAGAACAAUGGGUUAAAAGAAGGAAUUGGCCUCAUCCCUUCAACUGGACCGAGAGGGAGUUUAUAAGGAUAUCCUGUUUGGAACAUCGUAAAUGUACGAUCAGCUUUGGCAGCUAUAAGCUGGCAAAUGUGUUGAAGAAAUCAGAGAACACUUCUCAGUAAUAGCACAAUCCAAUUGGUUAAAAACAUCUGACAGAUAUGACCAUUCUCUGCAGCCCACAUCAUCCCAAUUCCACCGGUCAGGCAGAGCAUUUAAGAAAAGCAACAGUCUUCGCUGCACAGCAAAGCUGCUUUGCUUCUUCGCAUUCCUUGUGAGCACCAAUUCCCUGUGACUGAAAACAGUCCUUGCUUAUUAAGAUGCUAAAGCUUUUCCUCUAGAGGACAUACUAAUUUCUGUGCAGGAAUCACAUGGUGUUGUAGGAAGAGUCCCGGUUUCCGAGGCAGACAUCAUGAUUUAAGGAGGCAGAAGCUGAGCAUCACUGCAAUUUCAGUGUUAAAAGCAGUAAUCUGUUUAUGAGCUUUUUGCCUGAAGUUACAUAAAAAAAACCAAAACCAGAGGAUGUGGGGAUAAACACACACAUGACAACAUGCAACAACAAACAAACAGCUGGUUUAAAAGAACCAAACAUUUUGCUUAUAAUUAUUGAGCUCAGUGUAACUAACCAUUCUGGGCGGAUUCGCCUUUUGAGAAUAUUUCUCGCUUGGCGGACAGCAAGUUGCCAAAGGCUUCUUCCGUGCCAUGCAGAGGAUUCGAGUAGCCAUGAUAAGAAAUGUAUUGCAAUUUUAAAAGGCUCAUACAAAGCCACUGGGAAGGGGGUGGAAUCUAAACAAAGGAUGUGUAAGCAAUUUCAUUUAUUUUGAUAAACCUCCCUCCUGCUCAAGAGCAUUUUGCUGUCUUUGUCAAAGUGAAUGACAACAAUUUGGCCAACUCUCUCUAAGCCACACUCAGCAGUGACAGGCAAAUUAUCAGAGGCCCUGCACUCCUUAUUAUCAGAGGAGAAGUCAUCAGGAGGACGCGUGGAGGAUCCCUCUCCCCUGUCACUAUUUGUCAGUGGGACAAGGGCCACUGCUAUGGGGAGCUGACAGGUAAUUUCAACAAUAACAAUUACUCCUAUUACUGGUGUCAUAAACAAUUCGCCCAAGGCAUGACAAUAGCAAAGCUUUAUAAUUCAAUGCCAUAUAAAUAAAUGCCAGCAGGUAACAAGUAAUUUAGCUCCAAUCAAGCCUUGGCCCCAGCAUUAAUAUUGUUAUUGCACGAAAAUGGAAAAUUGAAAAAAAAAAUUCAAUAAGUUAAUGAAUUAAGAAAGGGUUCAAGGGCUAGCAAAGAGCAGCAGCUUUAAAAUCACCCUUUAAGAUCCAUUUUGCAUUUGCAAUACUGUACAUUUACUAUUUCACAAGAUAACACCAGAGGCAUACUUGUGUUUCUGCCCUAGAGAAAAUGUGAAUUUCAUUGUAUUCGUGUUUGUCUUCAGUUAUUAAACUUCAUAUUUAAAAUGUACAUUAAGAACCAAUGCGUCCCCUGCACUUCCCUAUUUGUUUUAAUACAGACAAAAAUCGAAUUGAAGAGGUCAUACGGCUUAAGAUAAGCUAUUAGCAGCCUGAUCCACAGCCCAGUUGAAGAGGAUACUGGAACUUACAUCAGGUUUAACCCUGUUAAGUUCAAUAUAGCAGCAAUUCAUAUUUACUAAGCCGUGAAUUAGGCUAAGAAGGUGUAGUUCAAAAUUCAGUACAUUGUAUUUUUCCUUUUCCAUUCAGGUUUGAUGAGACAGCAACUGAAAGUUGUUUUAUUGUACAUAUAUAUGUUGCAAUAAAAUGCUCUUUUCUCUGUUAGUUUCCUGCCUCGCUUUUGUAAGCAGAGCCACAAAAUUCAAAUCCUGACAUUAGCAAAAUAAAGCACAAGCAAGUCUUAUUACUCCAUGUUGAUCCGCCCAAUUUGCAAUUUUACUCUUUGUCCACUAAGACAAUGUGGCAUCACUUUGACAGGAGUAAAAGAAUUUGAAAAUCUCUAAUUAGAAGAGCUGUGGAGCAAUUAACGCAUGUCAAAUUUCACUUCAUCAAGUGCCACUCUAAUUUUCUCACUAAAAAUUAAUGGACUUUUUUUUUUUGUAUGUGCAUGUCCCCUCAAGGCAAUGUUGAUUCAAAUCUGCUCAAGAAGCAGCGUUGCACAGCUAAGCAUCUUUUUGAUUACAAUCCGACACACUUCUAACUGCUUUCAUUCUCACUGCCACAGAUACUUUGUCAACAGUCAAAUUACACCACACUGAUAACAAUGCAUAAUGGUGUUCCUCAAAGGAGGUGCCUGUCAUGGAAGAGUGUUUCAUAAAACGCACCAUCUUCUUCACUAAGAAACGCCACUGUUUUAAACCAAACUUUUUGUGUGGCUUCAGCAGCCCUUGCUCUGCAUGUUUGCGUCUGUUUCAUUGCAAUUUAGUUAAUUCUAGAUCACGGGGAAAGACAGUUGUGACUGCUUAAAGAUGGCAAGUGUAGAACAAAAAACAAAGGAGGAUAUCACUUUUCACCAUUUCUUCUCCAGAACAGGUUUCUAUGCAGUAUCCUGGAAUUGCCCAACAGCUAUUCAGCAAAAGACAAAGACACUCCUCAUAUGAACUGCCUUGUGAUGUCAGUCGUAAAAGUUUUCCUGAGCAAAAGCUGCAAGUUUUGGCAAAAAUACUAUAAACAUAACAGAAAGUGUUCUUUUAAUGGAUAGUAUUUGCAUUCCAACAGAAUUUGUAUAAUGGUAGUAUUUGCCAGAUUCCAUCAAAAAUAAAAUAAAUAAUUAAAAACCGGAAGAGGCAAGUGACAAAUAGCUUUUUACAUUUGAAAAAAUAACUCUCGAGUGUUGCAAGAUGUGGAAAAAUGGGCUCAUCUAAACGUUUUCAUUUUUAAAGUUUAUUUAUUUAUGGUUGAUAUGCAAGUACAGAAAAGCUUUAGGAGAAGGAGGGGGGGGGGUUCCUUUUCUUUGAUCAAAGCUGACUCUCAAAGACCUUGGAAAAUUUCCAGUUAUUCAAAUGCCUUUCCCCUCCCCCAAAUUAAAACAUGUCUGUGUUGAACCACUAAUUAGUGACUUAACUACCGUAAUAUACAACUUUGCUACAAAUGUCAAACGUUAUCUUUUGUGUUUGAUUGCUUCUCAUCAUUUUAAACAUCUUAUAUUUACAGGUUUUUAUGCCAAAUUCAUCUCUGUUGCUGGAACUUAAUUAACCUGAAUGGAAAGAGACCAUUGGAUAAUAGUUCACAUUUUCAUUAUAUUCCCUUACCGUUUUGACCAUGUUGCCAUUAACAGCUUGGUGCAACUUUAUAACAAUGUCUUGCAAUCCACAGAUGUCUCCUUUAGAAAAUGUUCAGACAUUUUCAGAGUUCUGGGGACAGUCAUAUAGAUUUUUCCUUUGUCCCAUUUCUGGCAUUUAUGUUCAUAGAAACCAGAUCUCAACACAAACUGCUGAAGCAUUUAAAACUCCUCAGUGAUGGUGGGAUGGAAACAGCGUCAUCAAAAGUUAAGCAAAUCAAACUGAUAAGACGUGUUUCCUUCUUAUUAAUGGUGAUUCUAUAUUCCUUAAAAAUGAUAAUGUGGGAAUUUGACAAGAUAUAUAAUAUACACUGCAUAUCAAAGACCAUUUUAAAACAUACAAUCAUUCUGGCAUUUAAACAGUAAGCAGAAAAUAAAUUGAAUGUGAGGAUGAGGUAAAGCAAUACACGGAUAAAAAAUUGAAAAUAUAACUUCAAUGCAAAACAGUUUUUUCUUCAGGAUUUUUGCUUUUGUUUUUAAAAUGCUAAAUAAACAAUACAUAAUGCAUCCCUCAUCAGCCGCGAACCGUGAGGGCUCUGCUCUCAAAUAACAGGAAACAUAUUCAAUUUUCCUAACAGAAGACAGUUCAUUAAGCUGUGCCACAUCAAAUAAAACUUUAAUUUCUUCAGCAUCCGAGUCGCAAUGAAAGCAAUUGAUGAAGAUGAGCCAUAUGGUACUUCUAUCAGCAAACACAUAUUGCUCAUUCCCCAAAAGUUUUCUAAUUCUGCUCCCCAGGCCUGUGUAAUAUAGAUAAUGUGCUCUGAGAGCAGCAACCAUGAGCUAUCUGGUGUACAUUUCUAAUACUGUAUUUAAUGGGAAAUAAUGAAUCAUAAAAGCCUGCGGAAGGCUGCUUUUGCUAACCUAAAUCUCAGCUGUAAUUUCAUCGUUCUGUGCCUAAGAUGCAGUUUGCCCUUUCUAAACAACAGCAACUGAAUGUAAUAAUGCAGCCACUUCAAACCCGGGUGGGAGGAGAAAUCCUUCUUAAUAGACCCAGGCUUUGUUUAACUCUUGAGGCUCCAAAGACACAGAAACUAGGGUUAAUAAAAGAGUAUUGUAUGCUAUGAAAAUAUUACAUACAUGUGUACACAGGCACACAGGCACAUGGAAAUACUUAUUUUCAUCUGUAUCUAUAUUUUGAAAAAAAAAAAUGAAGCUCUUCCAAACAGAUAACUAAAUGUGUGUGUGGUGGGGGGAAUGAUUUGAGACUCCAAAAUUUGGAACUUUUGUGGUAGCAGCUGCAAACACCCAGACUUUAAAAUGAUUUUUUUCUAUGUACAAAAAAUUGAAGGACAAUUCGUGAAUGAACAAGCCCAUAUAAAAGUAUCAGUUUACAAGGUUAGGUACCGGUAUAUUGUGUUUAGAUUUAUACAUUACUGAUUCAUGCAACUUUUUUUUUUUUUUACAAGCUUCUAAAUUAUAUUUUUAUAUCCAAAGAGGAUUUAAAUAUCAUUAAUUGCUAAGCAAAAAUAGAUGGGUUGAAGUUAAACUUUACAUGGCUCAGUCAUGCAGAGUGUGCUGUUCUGAGAAUGUCCUUAAAUCUGCAAAAAGUUCAGACGUUAAGCCAACACGUUUUCUUAAAGAUAUGGUACUUCCACCAUAUGCAUUGGAAACAUAUUUAAGUGAAUGUGUUUGGCAAUAUAUGAAUCCCAAACAAUCACAUUGCAAAGGAAGCGUUUGGAAAGUUAGAGACUGCCUUUAAAAGCUUAUUAAAACCAGCAUGUUCCAUGUCUGUCUUUGAAUUUAGAGAUGUGAUUGCCUUCAUUAAUGCUGCCUGUUUGGGUGCUUUUCCCGCAAAUGUUUUAAGUGCCGGCUUUCUCCACACCUUCUCUCGCCCCAAUGCUGAUUCUCACUAGCUGUCCACUUGGGAGUUUUCUCCCCGUAAAAUCUCAAACAACAAAUUAAUCUUCCUUAUGCAGCAACAUUUACCGGCAGGUGAAAUAUACCAAAACAACACAGUAUUGAAUGCAAUGUCCUCAAAGAAGAGGUAAAAUAAACCUGACCAUCUCCAGUGUGGAAAAAAAUAAAUACCCAUUUCCAAAACGAAAUAAGCACAUUGAUUAUAUUGCAUGAAUGUCUUAAAAACAAGUGUUUAAAGACUCCCACCCCCCUGUCCCCCCUGCUCCAAACAGCGCAGAAACCUCUGCCUGCUCCGAUGGGUCACAGUGACAAUGGUCUAUUGCAAUGUAAAACAAGCUGCGGGAUAAAAAGGUGCUUUCUGUUACCAUUUUAUCAAAGCUGUUCAUCUUCUAGCUGCAGGCAGCAUUUUGCCGGAAUUGCAGAUAUUUCUCUGUCCAGGCGCCUUUGUUUGUGCAUCUCAUUUGCAUAUAUUUAUCUCCAGCUGAGGGUGCUUUCAGCUCAUUAAGGCCUCCCCUCACAUUAUUUCAUAAGCCAGCUGCUAGGAGGGAUUUCACCUGUGGUGAGUGAGAAAAGAAGGGUAGAAUAAUAGUAAUAAUAAUAAUAAUAAUAAUAAUAAUAAUAAUCCAAACACACAACGCAGCGCACCCCCCCCCAAUUCUUCAUAAAAAGGAAAUUUUCGGACUCUCUUCCCCUAUAAAUGGGCACCAUUUGUGUUAAACAGCUUCUUGUCAUGAUAGAUGCCUCCGAGGGUCAGGGGUGAAAGUUGAUUUGAAGGUCAGCAGUAAAACAACAGACAAACCAGACGCCAAACUGGUUCCUGAGCUGUCGGUGGGAGCGCUGGUACAACCAGGUCUUGAACCUUUUCCAACCUCUAAUAAAACAGGCUAAGAAUCUGAAGUGGAUCAAGCAGACCCCAGAGGAAGAUGCGCAGAAACACACACAAAUAAUAUCGAUAUCAAGCAGCAACGAAAAACAACGUGGGCAGCUGUCCCGCAGUACAGGCAUG